GACGAACGCUGGCGGCGUGCUUAACACAUGCAAGUCGAACGGAAAGGCCCUGCUUUUGUGGGGUGCUCGAGUGGCGAACGGGUGAGUAACACGUGAGUAACCUGCCCUUGACUUUGGGAUAACUUCAGGAAACUGGGGCUAAUACCGGAUAGGAGCUCCUGCUGCAUGGUGGGGGUUGGAAAGUUUCGGCGGUUGGGGAUGGACUCGCGGCUUAUCAGCUUGUUGGUGGGGUAGUGGCUUACCAAGGCUUUGACGGGUAGCCGGCCUGAGAGGGUGACCGGCCACAUUGGGACUGAGGUACGGCCCAGACUCCUACUGGAGGCAGCAGUGGGGAAUAUUGCACAAUGGGCGGAAGCCUGAUGCAGCAACGCCGCGUGCGGGAUGACGGCCUUCGGGUUGUAAACCGCUUGCGCCUGUGACGAAGCGUGAGUGACGGUAAUGGGUAAAGAAGCACCGGCUAACUACGUG
rnacentral:rRNA from 1 species